rnacentral:rRNA from 1 species
GGGUUGUGAGGUUAAGCGACUAAGCGUACACGGUGGAUGCCCUGGCAGUCAGAGGCGAUGAAGGACGUGCUAAUCUGCGAUAAGCGUCGGUAAGGUGAUAUGAACCGUUAUAACCGGCGAUUUCCGAAUGGGGAAACCCAGUGUGAUUCGUCACACUAUCAUUAACUGAAUCCAUAGGUUAAUGAGGCGAACCGGGGGAACUGAAACAUCUAAGUACCCCGAGGAAAAGAAAUCAACCGAGAUUCCCCCAGUAGCGGCGAGCGAACGGGGAGCAGCCCAGAGCCUGAAUCAGUGUGUGUGUUAGUGGAAGCGUCUGGAAAGGCGUGCGAUACAGGGUGACAGCCCCGUACACAAAAAUGCACAUACUGUGAGCUCGAUGAGUAGGGCGGGACACGUGGUAUCCUGUCUGAAUAUGGGGGGACCAUCCUCCAAGGCUAAAUACUCCUGACUGACCGAUAGUGAACCAGUACCGUGAGGGAAAGGCGAAAAGAACCCCGGCGAGGGGAGUGAAAAAGAACCUGAAACCGUGUACGUACAAGCAGUGGGAGCACAGAGCAAUCUGUGUGACUGCGUACCUUUUGUAUAAUGGGUCAGCGACUUAUAUUCUGUAGCAAGGUUAACCGAAUAGGGGAGCCGAAGGGAAACCGAGUCUUAACUGGGCGUUAAGUUGCAGGGUAUAGACCCGAAACCCGGUGAUCUAGCCAUGGGCAGGUUGAAGGUUGGGUAACACUAACUGGAGGACCGAACCGACUAAUGUUGAAAAAUUAGCGGAUGACUUGUGGCUGGGGGUGAAAGGCCAAUCAAACCGGGAGAUAGCUGGUUCUCCCCGAAAGCUAUUUAGGUAGCGCCUCGUGAAUUCAUCUCCGGGGGUAGAGCACUGUUUCGGCAAGGGGGUCAUCCCGACUUACCAACCCGAUGCAAACUGCGAAUACCGGAGAAUGUUAUCACGGGAGACACACGGCGGGUGCUAACGUCCGUCGUGAAGAGGGAAACAACCCAGACCGCCAGCUAAGGUCCCAAAGUCAUGGUUAAGUGGGAAACGAUGUGGGAAGGCCCAGACAGCCAGGAUGUUGGCUUAGAAGCAGCCAUCAUUUAAAGAAAGCGUAAUAGCUCACUGGUCGAGUCGGCCUGCGCGGAAGAUGUAACGGGGCUAAACCAUGCACCGAAGCUGCGGCAGCGACGCUUAUGCGUUGUUGGGUAGGGGAGCGUUCUGUAAGCCUGCGAAGGUGUGCUGUGAGGCAUGCUGGAGGUAUCAGAAGUGCGAAUGCUGACAUAAGUAACGAUAAAGCGGGUGAAAAGCCCGCUCGCCGGAAGACCAAGGGUUCCUGUCCAACGUUAAUCGGGGCAGGGUGAGUCGACCCCUAAGGCGAGGCCGAAAGGCGUAGUCGAUGGGAAACAGGUUAAUAUUCCUGUACUUGGUGUUACUGCGAAGGGGGGACGGAGAAGGCUAUGUUGGCCGGGCGACGGUUGUCCCGGUUUAAGCGUGUAGGCUGGUUUUCCAGGCAAAUCCGGAAAAUCAAGGCUGAGGCGUGAUGACGAGGCACUACGGUGCUGAAGCAACAAAUGCCCUGCUUCCAGGAAAAGCCUCUAAGCAUCAGGUAACAUCAAAUCGUACCCCAAACCGACACAGGUGGUCAGGUAGAGAAUACCAAGGCGCUUGAGAGAACUCGGGUGAAGGAACUAGGCAAAAUGGUGCCGUAACUUCGGGAGAAGGCACGCUGAUAUGUAGGUGAAGUCCCUCGCGGAUGGAGCUGAAAUCAGUCGAAGAUACCAGCUGGCUGCAACUGUUUAUUAAAAACACAGCACUGUGCAAACACGAAAGUGGACGUAUACGGUGUGACGCCUGCCCGGUGCCGGAAGGUUAAUUGAUGGGGUCAGCGCAAGCGAAGCUCUUGAUCGAAGCCCCGGUAAACGGCGGCCGUAACUAUAACGGUCCUAAGGUAGCGAAAUUCCUUGUCGGGUAAGUUCCGACCUGCACGAAUGGCGUAAUGAUGGCCAGGCUGUCUCCACCCGAGACUCAGUGAAAUUGAACUCGCUGUGAAGAUGCAGUGUACCCGCGGCAAGACGGAAAGACCCCGUGAACCUUUACUAUAGCUUGACACUGAACAUUGAGCCUUGAUGUGUAGGAUAGGUGGGAGGCUUUGAAGUGUGGACGCCAGUCUGCAUGGAGCCGACCUUGAAAUACCACCCUUUAAUGUUUGAUGUUCUAACGUUGACCCGUAAUCCGGGUUGCGGACAGUGUCUGGUGGGUAGUUUGACUGGGGCGGUCUCCUCCUAAAGAGUAACGGAGGAGCACGAAGGUUGGCUAAUCCUGGUCGGACAUCAGGAGGUUAGUGCAAUGGCAUAAGCCAGCUUGACUGCGAGCGUGACGGCGCGAGCAGGUGCGAAAGCAGGUCAUAGUGAUCCGGUGGUUCUGAAUGGAAGGGCCAUCGCUCAACGGAUAAAAGGUACUCCGGGGAUAACAGGCUGAUACCGCCCAAGAGUUCAUAUCGACGGCGGUGUUUGGCACCUCGAUGUCGGCUCAUCACAUCCUGGGGCUGAAGUAGGUCCCAAGGGUAUGGCUGUUCGCCAUUUAAAGUGGUACGCGAGCUGGGUUUAGAACGUCGUGAGACAGUUCGGUCCCUAUCUGCCGUGGGCGCUGGAGAACUGAGGGGGGCUGCUCCUAGUACGAGAGGACCGGAGUGGACGCAUCACUGGUGUUCGGGUUGUCAUGCCAAUGGCACUGCCCGGUAGCUAAAUGCGGAAGAGAUAAGUGCUGAAAGCAUCUAAGCACGAAACUUGCCCCGAGAUGAGUUCUCCCUGACUCCUUGAGAGUCCUGAAGGAACGUUGAAGACGACGACGUUGAUAGGCCGGGUGUGUAAGCGCAGCGAUGCGUUGAGCUAACCGGUACUAAUGAACCGUGAGGCUUAACCUUACAACGCCGAAG